rnacentral:rRNA from 1 species
UGCGUAGACGGUUUCGUAAGUCGGGUGUGAAAUCCCCGGGCUCAACCUGGGAAUUGCAUUCGAAACUGCGAGGCUAGGGUACGGAAGAGGGAAGCGGAAUUUCUGGUGUAGCGGUGAAAUGCGUAGAUAUCAGAAGGAACAUCAGUGGCGAAAGCGGCUUCCUGGUCCAGCACCGACGUUCAGGCACGAAAGCGUGGGGAGCAAACA